rnacentral:rRNA from 1 species
GUUCUUUUGAUAAAAAUAUAAGAUCAGGCCUGCCCUAUGAGAUAUUAAAUGGCUGCAGUAUAUUGACUGUACAAAGGUAGCAUAAUCAUUUGUCUUUUAAUUGAGGACUAGAAUGAAAGGCUUGAUGAAAAAUAUUCUUUCUUUAUUUUAAAAAUAAAAUUUUACUUUUAAGUUAAAAGGCUUAAAUAUCAUUAAGGGACGAGAAGACCCUGUAGAACUUUAUAUUGAUUAAAUAAACUAAAUAUAGGAAAUAAUCAUAGUUUAUCAUUAUCCAAUAUUUUGUUGGGGUGACAAAAAAAAUAAAAUAACUUUUUUUAUGAAUGACAUAUAUAUAUGUUUUAUGGAUCCAGAAUAUUCUGAAUAAAAGAGUAAGUUACC